rnacentral:ncRNA from 2 species
GGAUCCGAGUCACGGCACCA